rnacentral:rRNA from 1 species
UUUAAAUUGAGAGUUUGAUCCUGGCUCAGGAUGAACGCUGGUGGCGUGCCUAAUACAUGCAAGUCGUACGCUAGCCGCUGAAUUGAUCCUUCGGGUGAAGUGAGGCAAUGACUAGAGUGGCGAACUGGUGAGUAACACGUAAGAAACCUGCCCUUUAGUGGGGGAUAACAUUUGGAAACAGAUGCUAAUACCGCGUAACAACAAAUCACACAUGUGAUCUG